AUAUUUAAUAUAGUUAUAUAUAAGUAUGUAUGUUUAUAUUUUAAGUGUAGAAAUAUGUAACAGUUUUACUUUUUAUGAUAAGAACUGAAGUAAAAUAUAGCAAAAUAUUUUGGUUCUUAGGAGUGGAAACCUUGUAAUUUACUACUGUAUGUAACUAUAUUCCUAUUAGAAUUUAGAGUUAUUUAUAUAAAUAUCUGAUUUUUUUGUGUGGUUUUUAAGGUAAUGCUAUGGGCUAUGUACGAAUGAUAAGAUCUGGUGGUCUUCAUUGUAGCAGCAAUGCCAUUAGAUUUGUUCCUGAUCUUGAAGAUAUUGUAAAUUUUGAAGAACUAGUAAAAGAAGAAGGUCUUGCAGAAGAAACAUUAAAAGCAGCAAGGCAUUUGGAUUCAGUCCUCAGUGAUCACACACGAAAUUCUGCCGAAGGCACAGAAUAUUUCAAAAUGCUUGUAGACGUUUUUGCUCCAGAAUUUCGAAGGCCAAAGAAUAUACAUCUCCGAAAUUUCUAUAUAAUUGUUCCCCCUCUGACCCUCAACUUUGUAGAGCAUUCCAUUAGUUGCAAGGAAAAAUUAAAUAAAAAA
rnacentral:lncRNA from 1 species